UCCGUAGGCGGGUCAUUAAGUCAGGGGUGAAAUCCCACAGCUCAACUGUGGAACUGCCUUUGAUACUGAUGAUCUUGAGUUUUAGUGAAGUAGAUAGAAUAUGUAGUGUAGCGGUGAAAUGCUUAGAUAUUACAUAGAAUACCGAUUGCGAAGGCAGUCUACUAACUAAUAACUGACGCUAAUGGACGAAAGCGUGGGGAGCGAACAGGAUUAGAUACCCUGGUAGUCC
rnacentral:rRNA from 1 species